CCUACGGGGGGCUGCAGUGGGGAAUAUUGGACAAUGGGGGGAACCCUGAUCCAGCCAUGCCGCGUGUGUGAAGAAGGCCCUCGGGUUGUAAAGCACUUUCAGUGAGGAAGAACGCCUGGUGGUUAAUACCCAUCAGGAAAGACAUCACUCACAGAAGAAGCACCGGCUAACUCCGUGCCAGCAGCCGCGGUAAUACGGAGGGUGCGAGCGUUAAUCGGAAUUACUGGGCGUAAAGCGCGCGUAGGUGGCUUGAUAAGCCGGUUGUGAAAGCCCCGGGCUCAACCUGGGAACGGCAUCCGGAACUGUCAAGCUAGAGUGCAGGAGAGGAAGGUAGAAUUCCCGGUGUAGCGGUGAAAUGCGUAGAGAUCGGGAGGAAUACCAGUGGCGAAGGCGGCCUUCUGGACUGACACUGACACUAAGGUGCGAAAGCGUGGGUAGCAAACAGGAUUAGAUACCCGUGUAGUC
rnacentral:rRNA from 1 species